rnacentral:tRNA from 1 species
CGCGGGAUGGAGCAGCCUGGUAGCUCGUCGGGCUCAUAACCCGAAGGGUCGUCGGUUCAAAUCCGGCUCCCGCAACCA